rnacentral:misc_RNA from 1 species
UUAGGAGAAAGUUUUGCGGCCUAUCCUAGUGUUAAGUUAUGCAGCCCAUGUCAACGGUCCAAAUUGCUUUUGUAGCUGCAUACAUACAAACCAUUAGCAUGCCAUCGAACUAAUUUUAAUGUGCCAUGUCAAAGGGUUAUUGUUGAGCCAUUUGACGAAAUGACAUUGAAUGAUGAUCUGAUUCCUUGGAUCAUUAUCUCCGUAAUUUUCUUUUUAACUACUUUGAAUUCUCCCUCAAUUGGGCCCAUUCCACUGCAAUCUAUUUUCCCACAAGCAUGACAGCCUAAAGACAACAAAACAACUAUACAAACUCUGGAUGAUGGAAGGGAGGCUUUUGACUACUUCUCAUGAAAAAACAACUCAUCGGAAUCGAACUUAAAAACUUUUUUUACUUUUCCAAUCAGGCCUUUCAAGAAGCUUAUACGCCCUUUUCAAAGGUUUUGUAAAAUGCUUACAAAAUUAGAGAAUCAAGUAUGGAAAAAUAUCUACUUUCACCAUUGCUUUUUGCCCUUUUUCUUCCUCUUGUUACCACUGUUACUACCAUUACCAUUUCCACUGCUCUUCGGAGAUGGGCUCUCCGCAGCAGCGCCGCCAUUGAAAUUGUCAAAUACACCUGCUUGCACAGCAUUCUGAAACCACUCAAAGAAUUCUUCCUCUGUCAUGGUCUCUUCCAUGUUCGAUGUUGGCAUCCGACCACUUCUUUGUCCUGAACUAGAUCCCUUGGAAGUAUUGUGCUUGGCAGUAACACUAGUGUUCACAUGGAAGCUUGGUUUGUGAGUGUUGGCUGGACAUCUCAUUCCCUGCACCAAAAUUCAACAUUUUGUACAUUCACUCUCUCAUCCAGUAUUGAGAGCAGAUGCAAUUGGGUGUUUCCACAGAAGAGGAAAUUUAAUGAUACUAUAAUAUAUAUGCAUGCGAGAUGUACCAGGAAUACAAAAACAAUCCUUUUUUUCUUUACAGUCUACCAUGGUCUACAUUUAUGAUCAUUGACAUAAAUCUUCAUCAAAGUUUUAAUUCAUUUAUUAAGCAGAACUUAUUUUACCUGGCAAAUAUACCAUUCGGUAGCAUCAUAUAUCUUGCCAUCUGCACAAACAUAUGCAGUGGGAGCAUCAACCUGCAUAAAAAAAGUAGAAGUAUAAUUCAAUGAAUUUUUUUUUAGAUCACUUUUACAAUCCUUCAAUAAACAAUGAACUGGCUAGUUGCACCUAAAAAGAAGGAAUCUUAGGUGUACACCUUCUGCAAUAAUCCAAAAAAGAAUGGUUGAGAAGAUUGUUCAACCCAUCCAUCCCCAUCUUUUGUCUGGUGAAAGUCUUUGCAAUCCUGGCACCAUCUUGCUCGAGAUUUUGACUUCUUUGUCUGUAUCCAUACAUGAAAAUUGUUGCACUUUUUGCAAGCUAUGCGCCUUGAUUCUCCAAAAGGGUCUUCACCUUCAGCCUCUGAAUGAGCAAAUCCAGAGGCAAAGAAACCGUGCUCUCCAUUCUUCUGAGAAGUGCUUUUACGGAAAUAGUUCAGCAACUCUUCCCUCCUUAAUUCAUCAUCAUAAGCUUUUCGCUUCAAGGAAUCAAGCAAAACCUCAUACGCAUUUUGAAGUUUCUUAAAUGCUUCCGCAGCCUUCUCAUUGCCCAUAUUCUUGUCAGGAUGAACCAACAUCGCCUUUUUUCUAUACUCCCUCUUCAGUAAAGAAACAUCCACAUUCUCAUAACGGGACAAACCCAGCACCGAAUAGUGAUCAGUACAGUUCAACAACCGUAUAACUUCUUCUUCAGAAGUCAACUCAGCAUCUGCCCCACUGGUUGAGGGAACUCCAGGGCUACGAUCUGAUGAUAACCCUGGGCUAGUUUCAGAGAAAGAAGAAUGAAAGGACUCACUAUUGAAGAAGCCUGGUUGACCUUCCACUCCUGCAGAUUGUUCAGGGGAUCUACUGGAUCUGCGCUGGUUAAUGUUAUUCUUCAGGAAGAAUAUCAGAACGUCACUUGAGAUAAAAGAUAAAUACAAUGCCAAAAUUAAGCCAAGCCAUCCAACAUAUGUCCAUGCACAAUAUACAGAAUACACAGUGGUGAUCAAUAAUGCAAGGCGUUCAUGGCUCAACAUGAAUGCCAACCCUCCAAUGAUAAUGACAAAUAUUGUUGUCCAGAAGCUUCCAUAAAGCCAUAGGAAAACAGUUCCAGAAAUGGCAACUACCAAAAGUCCAAGGGUGAGACCAAUGAAAACUCCCACAAAUGCAGCUAUGGCCAGGGCAAUAAGAAACUUGGACAUCCCAACCAUAACAAUUACUGAUAUGAUGCUACACCAUAUAGCUGAAAAAAAGGUUGCUGUCCCUAGCCGCAUAAAGGAAUCAAUGCCUCUAAAAGUGCAGUCCAACCAAAUCAUUGCCAAAAGAAGCAUUAUGUUCCUAAAAUGAAUGAGCCAUUUCAAGACAACAGGAUAUGCUCGCUCAGCCUUCAGUUUAACAUAAUCACGAGCAUUGUGCAUGUUGGUUGUUACUCUAGCAAACAACGGCCUAUGCCUCUCCAGCCAAUCACCUGCCACCUUCAAAAUGGACAAAGUUGAUGCCCUCAAGUUUCUAAAUGCUACAUUGCCUGAAAAAUCCACAUUUUCCAUCAUAGUUUUUAGAUGCAAGCCAUUAAACAAGUAGUUCAAUCCAUUUUUUGCAUGUUUUACACCGCUGUCCCAGCCAGGUAAUGUUCCAUUGUCUUUACUUAUGUCAGCAUUUUCAACAGAACAACUACUGCAAUCCCCUGAAUUGUCACUGUGAGACACUGACUGCCCUAGAUCUUGCGGUUGAUCUAUUCCUUGUUUCUCUUUUCCCUGAAAUUUUCCAGAGGUUUGCUUAGUUUUGUUAUCAUCUCCAACAUUGUUUUUUCUUUUCACAUUAUCUGAAGAAAGACUACAUGGCCGAUAGCCAUUUGGGAUUUCCUCUCCAGGUAAAACCUUUGACUCAUUCAUUUUCCCUCGUCCUUUCAUAUCAGGAAUUGCAUGCCCUGAAUCUGAAACCUUUUUCUUGUGGUUUGAUGCAUGACGAUCCACUCCAUUCCUCUGUUGAUUACCUUUGCGAGCCAUUGUAGUUAAUAUAUAUGGUACUUGUUGAAGAUGAAGAGAAACUAAUCCAUUUCUAAUUCUAUCAAAGGAAGCAUGACUUGCAGCAUUAGUGCCAUGUGAAAAUCAUUAAGUGUCACCAAAGGAUGUGGACAGUUAAGCCUGUCAAAUCUUUUAAACCAUAACAAAAGAGUGACAAAAACUUCAAGAAGUUUCCUUAUAACUACUCAGAUAUCAUUGGUUGAACCUACAGCCAUCAUUAUGAGGACACAUAUUGGCAAUCACAAUAUUUACACAUCAAUAAAAGACCUGAUGAUUUUGUGUUUUGUCACCUGAUACUCCAUGCUUCAAAAAGUAAAUUGUAUAACCACACAACACUUUUUGGUCAAUACGUGGAUGUGAAAGAAAAAUGUGCUUGGUGAAUAAGAAACAAUCAAAACCAGAAAGGCAAGAUAGUCCUCAAGUUCCCAAUCUUGCAAUUAGAUUACCAUUAAUUUAUUUCCAUCUGAAAGGGAGAAAAAUAUCACAAAAUCAUUUUCAGAUGGAUAACCAAGUUGACCGAAAAUCUUACAAUUCAUUAAAUGUGUAAUCAAUAAUGAAUCUCCAACCACAUAAAAAGUUUUAGUCCCAAACAAAAAAAAAAAACUUUUACAGGAACAGGUUAAUAUAAAAGCAUAAUAUAAGAACUUAAGAGCAAUGAUAAACAGACUUAGGGCUUAGGCCAUUACCAAUAGAGUUUCAAGCAAAAACCCACAUUAUAUAGUCACGGUAUCACGAAGAGGGCGAUGGUAAUAUUUUUGAAACCCUAAGGAACAGAAGGUGAACUAAGCAAGACCCAAACCAAAAAUUUCAGCGCAGCUAAAGGUAUCAAACCCAUACAAAGAAUUGCAGAGGGAUCAUUAUCUGUGGGUUAUCAUUAUCCGUUCCCAAAACGAAAGCAAAAACAUCAUCCAGUAAUUGCGAGAAUAAACCAAAUGGGGGCUUCAAUCAAAAUAAAAAGCAAAGAAAAUGAAAACCCCACCUGAGAACCAAACCCCCAAAUGCGAUAACAGCAAAUAAAAAUCAAGUCCUAAGCUUAAAAAAAUUGAAAAAUAAUAACUUAAUAAAAAAAACAUUCAAUCCUCCAUAAAUAGGGAAAAGAUGAAUAAGAUUGAGAAACAGGCAUACCUUGAGCUAAGCGCAGCUUAGAGGGAGAAGGGGAGUGAAGAAAAAGACCCAAUAGCCAGAAAUGAGUGAUAACGAGAAUAAAGCCCUAAAAUGAAAAGUAGAUGACCAAUAAAAGGGAAAAGAAAAAGCAAAAAAUAGCCUUAAAAGAUCAUAACUUUGCUGUUCCUCCAAUUAAACUAAUAUUUGAAUCUGAUUGACCGGAGCUGUUCAAAGAGCUGAUGAUAGCAUCGUCAAGAAUUGAGAAUGAAACGACAGAGAAGAGAAGCAAGAGAGAGAGAGAGAAGAAGGAAGACUCAACAGAAAGCUGUAAACACAGCUGUCUCUCAACGUCAUCAUCAUCCAGGAUGGAUGGUCUUCUUGUUUGUGUCUGUUUGGGUUUCUCAGUUACUGUACCUUAUCACUUUUUGGGAUUAUCUUGCACUGCUCAAGGCUGUGAUCUUGCCAGGG